UACGUAGGGGGCGAGCGUUGUCCGGAAUUAUUGGGCGUAAAGAGCGUGUAGGCUGUUCGGUAAGUCUGCCGUGAAAACCUGAGGCUCAACCUCGGGCGUGCGGUGGAUACUGCCGGGCUGGAGUCCGGAAGAGGCGAGUGGAAUUCCUGGUGUAGCGGUGAAAUGCGCAGAUAUCAGGAGGAACACCAAUGGCGAAGGCGGCACGCUAGACCUCUUCUGACGCUGAGGCACGAAAGCCAGGGGAGCGAACGGG
rnacentral:rRNA from 1 species